rnacentral:lncRNA from 1 species
UUACAGAGCCACCUAAGCUGAAGAUUCCCUUGAGAACAAGUACUGUCCCUAGUUUCCCAGUGCUGGAAUAUAGAAAAUGGAUGGACAAGUAAAUCCCACUCAGCACCCAUAGUCCAGGCAUGGGGACCUCAACACACCUGAGCCCCAGACAUCACCUUUCAUUGUGAGUAGCUCUGAGAUGACACUUCUGCUGUUCCCAAUUCCAGCAUUAAUUGGAUUAGAUAGUUAUUUUAUGAAGAAUUUUCAUAUGCCACAAUCCUGACCAUAUCUUCAAGUGAACAGAAAAAUUCUAUUAAAAAGUCAACCUUCUGUCUCACUCUGUUGCCCAGACUGGAGUGCAGUGGUGCAAUUAUGGCUCACUGCAGCCUCAACCUCCUGGGCUCAAGCAAUCCUCCUGCCUCAGCCUCACAAGUAGCUGGGACUACAGCUGGACCUACCAUGAAAGACUUCUGAAUCCAGGAAGAGAAACUGACUGGGCAACAUGUUAUUCAGAAACAGGACCUUGCCCUGUCACUCAGGAUGGAGUUCAGUGGUCCUAUCAUGGCUCAUUAUAGCCUCAAACUCCCAGGCUCAAGCAAUCCUACCAUGUCAGCCUUCCCAGUAGCUGGGACUACAGAGACGAGGUUUCGCCAUGUUUCCCAGACUGUUCUCAAACUCCUGAGCUCAAAGCAGUCCACCCACCUUGGCCUCCCAGAGUUCUGGGAUUACAGGUGUGAGCCAUCUUGCUCAUUCUAGUUUAAACUUUUGAGUGGUUUGUGUCUCCUGAUUGGACUCCUACAAAUACAGAAUUGAUGCUAGGAAGGGUACCAGGAGAUAGACGCACACAGAUGGGAUUUGGGAAUAGGUUUGGUUAUCCAAGGAGCAGUGCUGAGCUCCUUGCAAUGGGAUAUGGGAUGCUGGUGAUUUCCAGGAUGUGAGCUCACAAUGACUCAAGCUGCCACAUACUGUUGAUUGUGAAAUGCCAGUUGAAGCAUAUGUCCUGCGAGCUUAGGGGUGCUACAAGUUGACCACUGCAGCAGUAAAGAUGACUCUGAAGAAUGGCGUGGGUUGGUUCCUUUCAAAUGCACUUGAGCAGCGGUCUCCAACCACAGGGCCACAGAGCUGGAGGUGAGCAGCAGGCGAGUGAAGGGAAACUUCAUCUGUAUUUCUAGCCCCUCCCAUCGCUUGCAUGACCACCUGAGCUCCAUGUCCUGUCAGAUCAGCAGCAGCAUUAGAUUCUCACAGGAGCACAAACUCUGUUGUGAAGUGUGCAUGCGAGGGAUCUAGGUUGUGUACUCCUUAUGAGAAUCUAAUGCCUGAUAUUCUGUUACUGUCUCCCAUCACCCCAGAUGGACAGUCUAGUUGCAGGAAAACAAGCUCAGAGAUCCCACUGAGUCUACGUUAUAGUGAGUUGUAGAAUCAUUUCAUUAUAUAUUACUAUGUAGUAAUAAUAGAAAUAAAGUGCACAAUAUAUGUAAUGCACUUGAAUCAUCCUGAAAUUAUUCCCUCAUUCCCAGUCUGUGGAAAAAUUGUCUUCCACACAUUCACUCUGUUUUUUGGUAGAGGCAGGGUCUUAAUAUAUUGCCCAGUCUGAUCUCAAACUCCUGGCCUCAAGUAAUAUACCUCUCUCAGCCUCCCAAAGUGCUGAGAUUACAGGCAUAAGCCACCACCCUCAACCAAGACUUUCUUAAACCAAAUAAAAAUUAAGUGAGAUUACUUGAGCCCAGGUGGUCAAGGCUGCAGUGAGCCUGAUUGCACCACUGCACUCCAGCCUAGGUGACAGAAUGAGACUGUCUCAAAAAAUAAAAUAAAAUACAAAUUAACCCUUCAUGACAUUCCCAGUAACUUCCUAAGUGCUCCCCACAAGUCUUUGAAUUCUGUUUAAUUCUCACAUAACAUUUAAGACAUUUAAGAACUUAUGUCUGUCUGUGUCAUCCCUUUAUGUCAAAAGAUGUCUUUUUGUCACUUCCAGCUGGAUCUACCAUGAAAGACUUGUGAAUCCAGGAAGAGAGACUGACUGGGCAACAUGUUAUUCAGAAUCUUCCUGUGCCAUCCAGGCUGGAGUGCAGUGAUGUGAUCAUAGCUCACUAUAGCUUUGGCCUUCUGAGAUCAAGCAAUCCUCCCAUCUCAACCUCCCAAGUAGCUAGGACUACACACGCAUGUCACCCAUGCCCAGAUCAUUUUUGUAGAGUCAGAGUUUCACCGUGGUGGCCAGGUUGGCCAUGUUGGCCAGAUGGGGUCUUCUUUUGUUGCCCAGGCUGGCCACAAAUUCCUGGGCUCAAGUGAUCCUCCCACCUCGUCCUUGUAGAGAUGAGAUUUAGUUAUGUCGUCCAGGCUGAUCUCAAACUCCUGGGCUAAAUCGAUUGUCUCACCUCAGCCUCUCAAGUAUGUUAUGAAGGUUAUAUGUUAGGAAGGGUCCCAGGAGGUAAACCCACACAGAUGGGAUUUGGGCAUAGGUUUGGUUUCCCAGGGGGCAGUGCUGAGCUCUUUGCCAGUGGGAAAUGGGAUGCUGGUGAUUUCCAGUAGGUGACCUCACAGUGACUCAAGCUACCACUUACUGUUGAUUGUGACGAAAUGCCAGCUGAGGCACAUGCCUUGGGAGCUAAGUGGUUGCUGCCCUUGACCACUGUGAAGACUGGUGUGGGAAGGGUCGCUUUGGAUGCACUUGAGCAGGGGUCCCCAACCCCUGAGCCAUGGAGCCGCAAGGAGCCACACAGCAGGAGGUGAGCGGUGUCGAGUGAGGGAGUGAGGGAAGCUUCGUCUGUAUUUACAGCCACUCCCCUUUGCUCACAUUCCCGCCUGAGCUCCACCUUCUCAGAUGAGCAGCAGCAUUAGAUGCUCAUAGGAGAACGCACCCUGUUGUGAACCGUGCAUGUGAGGGAUCGAGGUUGCGCUGUCCUUAUGAGAGUCUAAUACCUAUUGAUCUGUCACUUUCUCCCAUCACGCUCAGGUGGGACCAUCCAGUUGCAGGAAAACAAGCUUGACACGCCCACUAAUUCUACAUUAUGGUGAGUUCUAUAA